UACGUAGGGUGCGAGCGUUAAUCGGAAUUACUGGGCGUAAAGCGUGCGCAGGUGGUCAUGUAAGACAGAUGUGAAAUCCCCGGGCUUAACCUGGGAAUUGCAUUUGUGACUGCAUGGCUAGAGUGUGGCAGAGGGGGAUGGAAUUCCGCGUGUAGCAGUGAAAUGCGUAGAGAUGCGGAGGAACACCGAUGGCGAAGGCAGCCCCCUGGGCUAACACUGACGCUCAGGCACGAAAGCGUGGGGAGCAAACAGG
rnacentral:rRNA from 1 species